rnacentral:rRNA from 1 species
AGCGAACGCUGGCGGCAGGCUUAACACAUGCAAGUCGAGCGGGCAUCUUCGGAUGUUAGCGGCAGACGGGUGAGUAACACGUGGGAACGUACCCUUCGGUUCGGAACAACUCUGGGAAACUGGAGCUAAUACCGGAUACGCCCUUAUGGGGAAAGGUUUACUGCCGAAGGAUCGGCCCGCGUCUGAUUAGCUAGUUGGUGGGGUAACGGCCUACCAAGGCGACGAUCAGUAGCUGGUCUGAGAGGAUGAUCAGCCACACUGGGACUGAGACACGGCCCAGACUCCUACGGGAGGCAGCAGUGGGGAAUAUUGGACAAUGGGCGCAAGCCUGAUCCAGCCAUGCCGCGUGAGUGAUGAAGGCCUUAGGGUUGUAAAGCUCUUUUGUCCGGGACGAUAAUGACGGUACCGGAAGAAUAAGCCCCGGCUAACUUCGUG